AUUGAACGCUGGCGGCAGGCCUAACACAUGCAAGUCGAGCGGAUGAAGGGAGCUUGCUCCUGGAUUCAGCGGCGGACGGGUGAGUAAUGCCUAGGAAUCUGCCUGGUAGUGGGGGAUAACGUCCGGAAACGGGCGCUAAUACCGCAUACGUCCUGAGGGAGAAAGUGGGGGGUCUUCGGACCUCACGCUAUCAGAUGGGCCUAGGUCGGAUUAGCUAGUUGGUGGGGUAAAGGCCUACCAAGGCGACGAUCCGUAACUGGUCUGAGAGGAUGAUCAGUCACACUGGAACUGAGACACGGUCCAGACUCCUACGGGAGGCAGCAGUGGGGAAUAUUGGACAAUGGGCGAAAGCCUGAUCCAGCCAUGCCGCGUGUGUGAAGAAGGUCUUCGGAUUGUAAAGCACUUUAAGUUGGGAGGAAGGGCAGUAAGUUAAUACCUUGCUGUUUUGACGUUACCAACAGAAUAAGCACCGGCUAACUUCGUG
rnacentral:rRNA from 1 species